UACGAGGGGGGCAAGCGUUGUUCGGAAUUAUUGGGCGUAAAGGGCGCGUAGGCGGUGCGGUAAGUCACCUGUGAAAACUCUGGGCUCAACUCAGAGCCUGCAGGCGAAACUGCCGUGCUUGAGUGUGGGAGAGGUGCGUGGAAUUCUCGGUGUAGCGGUGAAAUGCGUAGAUAUCGAGAGGAACACCUGCGGCGAAGGCGGGUUGCUGGGCUGACACUGACGCUGAUGUGCGAAAGCUAGGGGAGCGAACGGG
rnacentral:rRNA from 1 species